rnacentral:rRNA from 1 species
GACGAACGCUGGCGGCGUGCUUAACACAUGCAAGUCGAACGGAAAGGCCCUGCUUUUGUGGGGUGCUCGAGUGGCGAACGGGUGAGUAACACGUGAGUAACCUGCCCUUGACUUUGGGAUAACUUCAGGAAACUGGGGCUAAUACCGGAUAGGAGCUCCUGCUGCAUGGUGGGGGUUGGAAAGUUUCGGCGGUUGGGGAUGGACUCGCGGCUUAUCAGCUUGUUGGUGGGGUAGUGGCUCACCAAGGCUUUGACGGGUAGCCGGCCUGAGAGGGUGACCGGCCACAUUGGGACUGAGAUACGGCCCAGACUCCUACGGGAGGCAGCAGUGGGGAAUAUUGCACAAUGGGCGGAAGCCUGAUGCAGCAACGCCGCGUGCGGGAUGACGGCCUUCGGGUUGCAAACCGCUUUCGCCUGUGACGAAGCGUGAGUGACGGUAAUGGGUAAAGAAGCACCGGCUAACUACGUG